CGAUCUAGGAGCUUGUAUUUUAAGCGUCUGAUUGUUGCUCAGAGUAAGGUUGAUUUUGAACUCUAGGUCU
rnacentral:tRNA from 1 species